rnacentral:rRNA from 1 species
GCUGGGUGAUAGCGUGCCUUUUGUAGAAUGAACCGGCGAGUUACGAUUGCAUGCAAGGUUAAGUUGAGAAGACGGAGCCGCAGCGAAAGCGAGUCUGAAUAGGGCGUCUUGAGUAUGUAGUCGUAGACCCGAAACCAGGUGAUCUACCCAUGUCCAGGUUGAAGUUCAGGUAACACUGAAUGGAGGACCGAACCCACGCACGUUGAAAAGUGCGGGGAUGAGGUGUGGGUAGCGGAGAAAUUCCAAUCGAACUUGGAGAUAGCUGGUUCUCUCCGAAAUAGCUUUAGGGCUAGCCUCACGAAGAACGAGUCUUGGAGGUAGAGCACUGUUUGGACUAGGGGCCCUCAUCGGGUUACCGAAUUCAGACAAACUCCGAAUGCCAAGUACUUAAACGUGGGAGUCAGACUGCGAGUGAUAAGAUCCGUAGUCAAAAGGGAAACAGCCCAGACCACCAGCUAAGGUCCCAAAGUAUACGUUAAGUGGAAAAGGAUGUGGGGUUGCUUAGACAACCAGGAUGUUGGCUUAGAAGCAGCCAUCAUUUAAAGAGUGCGUAAUAGCUCACUGGUCGAGUGACCCCGCGCCGAAAAUGUACCGGGGCUAAACGUAUCACCGAAGCUGUGGGUGUACACCGUAGGUGUACGCGGUAGGAGAGCGUUCUAAGGGCGUUGAAGCUAGACCGGAAGGACUGGUGGAGCGCUUAGAAGUGAGAAUGCCGGUAUGAGUAGCGAAAGAUGGGUGAGAAUCCCAUCCACCGAAUGCCUAAGGUUUCCUGAGGAAGGCUCGUCCGCUCAGGGUUAGUCGGGACCUAAGCCGAGGCCGAAAGGCGUAGGCGAUGGACAACAGGUUGAUAUUCCUGUACCACCUCGUUUUUGUUUGAGCGAUGGGGGGACGCAGGAGGAUAGGGUAAGCGCACUGCUGGAUAUGUGCGUCUAAGCAGUUAGAGCGGCAAGUAGGCAAAUCCGCUUGCCAUACGCUUGAGCUGUGACAGCGAGGGAAAUCAAGUACCGAAGUUCCUGAUUCCACACUGCCAAGAAAAGCCUCUAGUGAGAAAACAGGUGCCCGUACCGCAAACCGACACAGGUAGGCGAGGAGAGAAUCCUAAGGUGAGCGAGAGAACUCUCGUUAAGGAACUCGGCAAAAUGACCCCGUAACUUCGGGAGAAGGGGUGCUUUUUAGGGUGCAUAGCCCUGAAGAGCCGCAGUGAAUAGGCCCAGGCGACUGUUUAGCAAAAACACAGGUCUCUGCGAAGCCGCAAGGCGAAGUAUAGGGGCUGACGCCUGCCCGGUGCUGGAAGGUUAAGAGGAGGGGUUAGCUUACGCGAAGCUCUGAAUUGAAGCCCCAGUAAACGGCGGCCGUAACUAUAACGGUCCUAAGGUAGCGAAAUUCCUUGUCGGGUAAGUUCCGACCCGCACGAAAGGCGUAACGAUCUGGGCACUGUCUCAACGAGAGACUCGGUGAAAUUAUAGUACCUGUGAAGAUGCAGGUUACCCGCGACAGGACGGAAAGACCCCGUGGAGCUUUACUGUAGCCUGAUAUUGAAUUUUGGUACAGCUUGUACAGGAUAGGUAGGAGCCGUGGAAGCCGGAGCGCUAGCUUCGGUGGAGGCGUCGGUGGGAUACUACUCUG